ensembl:lncRNA
AACCUCUUAAAAUCUGCAUCAUAACAAUAUUAGUCGAAAGUUUCCUGAACUUCUGCUUAAUGGACAUUCUGUUAUUGAUAAAAAGUUGUCCAACAAUACAAUAAGAAAAUGCUUUAUCCAAGAACUGCAUUCAUUCUUAGCUAACAGAUCUUUAGUUCUUCAACUCCAAUCUAGAGAAGUCAUUAAUGGAAUGAUUAAUGGUGUUUAACCAUCUGGAGACUUCCUGAGGCAUCGAUUUAACUUGGACCCUAAUAGCUGCUCUUUCUGUAAUGAAGAUGUAGCUAGACUGUUGUUUGGCUUCAAAGCUUCACAAUCUAAAGACACUGCAUUGAUUCGUUGUUUCACAGCAAAUAAGAAUAUUGACCUUUAAAUUAAAUGUUAGAAUAAUCUGUGGUCAAUUUUUUAUACACAAAUGCCGUUAUUUAAAAACUCGCCCUGCUUUCACUACCUUUCAUAGAGAAUUGGUUUACUACGUCGUUCCUUGAAAUUCAUAAAAGGGUCCAAAAAACUGUUAACCCAACCGCACAUUUCAUCUAAUUUUGUUUUGUAAUUUACUUUUUUGAAUUAUUAUUAUUUUAAUAUAUCUAAUAUGAUUAUUGUCACCAUAUACUGUUGGUCCUUUUCGUGUCUGUUUGUAGCGCUGAGUCUGAAGGAUUUGCUGUACUGCGCCAAGUUUUUGUUAAAACAAAAACAAAAAACGGCACCCCUGCAGCCACCUUCAUCCGGGACCUCCGGGGCGGGGCAGUUGAGCCUGUCAUUUGUGAAGGGAGCAAUUUGAUUGGACGGUUUUAAUGUUUUCCUUUUCAAACUCGCUUUUGAACCGGAAGCUCUAAACGAGCCGGUGAAAAAGUGAAGCACGCAGGAAUGAGUGUUUGAAUCCGGCUGCAGGGCUCAGGCUGGCGGAGACCAUGAGAGGAAGAGCUCAGCGCAAGGUGGUGACGUCAGGAAGGCUGACGGGAGCAGUCAGAGGGGGUCUAGCCACCUUAAAUCCAGGAACAGCUCCCUGCCCUGAGCCGGCCUACUCUCUGUACUCUACCGACUCCGAGGACCAGGUCAUCAGUCUGCACAAGGGUCUGGACCGCUGUGCUGCCCUGCUCAGUGGGAUCCUUCAGGCUGAUGAGGCAGUGUCUCCAAGGCUUCACAGAACAGUAAGCAGUGUAGCAGUCAAACCAAGGCUAUCCACAUCAAUGGGGAAAAAGAGCUUGAAGAAAGGGCCUCCAAAGGCAGGCCAGAAGAGCGUGUCAGGCCAGCGUGGAUCGGACAGCAGAACUCCACGAGGACACCCAUCUGCCCGUCCUGCACCACAUUCAGGAGUGAAGCUACAUCCACCUCAGAAACGAUGUCCCACCCAGCUGCAGUCUCACUUACUUUCAGCACACGACCAAACACCUCGACUUCUUCCUCACACCGUCAGUCCACCCCAGCACGAGGCGUCCAUCCUUCUGUCUGUGCGUCAGUCCUCCUCUCUCUCGAGCCAUCAGACUGCCUGCCGGCCUGACUCUGAAACGCCUCACACUACGUGUGAUGAAGCACAAGAGUUUGUUCCUGUGAGAGACACAAACACCCAGAGCCCCAGCACACACACUCUCACACAUGCACAUGGAGACAGCUGCAGUAUGAAGAUGGCACACUUACAGCUGGAGCCUGGACAGGCUGAGGAGAGCAACAUUGAGGCACAAACAAAAGCUCACAAGCUUCAGUAUCUAUUCGCACAACUCAAGGCUCUGAUUGCUGGACAAGGCAGUGUAGCAGAGAGCCUACUCAGUCAUCUGGAGCAGACUGUGUCCCCAGCACAGAUGAAUAUUAGUGCUUCAAACACCCAGAGUGUGUCCGACCUGCACAGGUGUGUGAGGAUCCUGGACCAGCAGCCAGAGACGGAGAGACAUCAGAACCAGGCGAUACUCUGGCAGAGACUUCAGAAAGAGCUCACUGCUGCUCAGUCCAGGCUGCAGGAACUCCAAGAUGACCUGACGGACCUACGGAAAACCCUGCAGGACACACAGAGCCAGCUGAGAGACCGAGAGGCUGAAACUGCACUCGUUAAGAUGGAGCUGGAGGCCAGUAAGAGUAGGUUACUGGACAGUGAGCGGGAGAAGAGUAAGCUGGCCUCGCUGGCACAGCAAAGGCUGAAGGAGAUGGAACACCUUAAAAGUCUCCUCUCAUCAGAUUAUCCUGCUGUUGUUGACAGCUCUGUGUCAGAGACAAGCCAACACCAGCACAGACGGGAUCCGCCAGCGCCCCCUACUGACCAUAUCGCCCAAUACCUGAAGUCUCUUAGCCAGAUGGCGCCUGUGCAGUGUGUGGAUGCAGAGAGAGAUUCAGACUCAGCAUCACAUCUAGACAUCACCGCUCAGAGGAGUGAAGAUCCUGCAGGGACUCGGCACGAGUCUAAUCGUGAGCGGUCCACUGGUCCAGGUGAAGCCCUGCGGCCAGAGGACGCUCGCAGGCAGCUGUUUAACUCCACGCUGUCCCAGAGUGAAACAGAGUCUGUGUGGUCUGAUUUGACCUUUGACACCAGAGACGAAGCAGCGUUCAGAGACGGUCUGGCAGCUUUAGAUGCUAGCAUAGCCAGUCUGCAGAAGACUAUUAAGCUGGACCUGAGGAGGUGACCGUGCUGGUCUUUGUAUUCAUCCAUGUUUGGGCCUUGUUGAUGAACCGUUCUGUAAAGUGUUGAAGAUUUGGAAUAAAGCUGUUUUUAUGAAUUUCUUCAUGGACAGCACACUGCUUUGUUCUGCUGCUCGUGGAGAUUUACAACUUUCUCUCUAACAAGUCAGACAGUGCUGCGUGAAGAGUUCUGUCCAAAUCACUGAAAGUACACCAAAAAUGAUCCUUUAUUCUGGCGGGCUUGGAUAGUCAAACUCCUCAGGUUAGUGAAUUUGCACAAGAAAGCAGAAAAUGAUCAGCAUGAACCCAAAGGCAGUCUGAGGAGAAAAAAAUGGACUGAAGGGAAAGUACUGAGAUGAUCUCAGAGGCUGUGGAAGUGGUGCAUUAUCUCUGGGGUUAAUAUAAAUGUACAGACGGGCAAAAUAAAUCCAGCAGCCACAAUGGUUUGAGUGCACGGUGUCGUCGACAAACGUGGAGCACAGGCCUGGUAUCGCAGCGAAGCUUCUACCUCAGUGAUGUCAUCCCUGAGUUCAGGCAGUCUUUAGGUUUCUCGUCAGGCAGCCUGAUGUCACCUUCUUGUAGUAAACAGCCUGGCCUCUUUGGUGUGUUUAAAUGUGAUGUCAAACAUGUUUAAACUGUACUUUAAUGUAUUUGAAAAGUAUGAUUAAAAUUCAAGACAACCACAAAUACUAUGUUUUAUGAGAAUGUGUGUAAAACAGGUUUUAUUGAGUACAAACGCAGGUCAGUGUAAGGUCGUGUGUGACACACCGUGUUCAGAAAAACAGACGGCCCGUCUACAACCAUCGUACAAAACACAAGAAAUGGUUUAAGCCUCAUGAAAUUACAGUGAGAUCUCUAAAACAGUUUUCAGCCUCGGUGCAGUUCAAUGACACACACACACACACACACAACCGUGCAGCUCUCUGCAGCACAGCAAAGCAGCAACACUCCCGAGGCUACAUGGUGAGCAGGAGGUCAGGAGCUGAGCCCAGAGCCGUAAACACCACAAUUAAUGAAGGUCCCAGCAGACCGGGACGAGUUCCACACCCACACAGCCAUCUGCUAAGAAAACAGCACCGUACUACCCUACUACUAAUGGUCUGAACCAUUUUUAACCUCGCUUAGCACAAAGACAAGUGAAAUAUUCCCACCAGCUGUACAUGGUUGAAAGGCCACUGUGAGGACAGGACUGCAGAGAUGCUGGCUGAUUAUACCAAGAAGAGAACAAAGUUAACUCUAGUUAUGAGUAUAGUGUUGCCCUACAGUGUGAUGUCACAGAAAUCCAUCCCUGAAGAUUAUUUUUGGAAGCAGCUUUUUCACAACCCAGCUUCACCUGCUGAAUGAGCCACAGGACAGCGCUCUGAGUCAGUCUGAGCCUAACACGUCCUGGGUGUGGGCUGUAGGCACAGAAGGGUUACUUCUCAUCGUCCAAGUAAUCCUUUAAAGCUUAGUGGAAGCACAUCUG